rnacentral:rRNA from 1 species
AGGGUUCGAUCAUGGCUCAGGACGAACGCUGGCGGCGUGCCUAACACAUGCAAGUCGAACGAGAAUCUCAGAACAGAUUCUUUCGGGAUGAAGUUUUGAGAGGAAAGUGGCGGACGGGCGAGUAACGCGUGAAUAACCUGCCCAUAAGAGGGGGAUAACACAUGGAAACGUGUGCUAAUACCGCAUAUUGAUAUGAUGCCGCAUGGUAACAUAUUGAAAGAUUUAUCGCUUAUGGAUGGAUUCGCGUCAGAUUAGAUAGUUGGUGAGGUAACGGCUCACCAAGUCGACGAUCUGUAGCCGAACUGAGAGGUUGAUCGGCCGCAUUGGGACUGAGACACGGCCCAG